rnacentral:rRNA from 1 species
GACGAACGCUGGCGGCGUGCUUAACACAUGCAAGUCGAACGAUGAACUUGGAGCUUGCUCUGGGGGAUUAGUGGCGAACGGGUGAGUAACACGUGAGUAACCUGCCCUGGACUCUGGGAUAACUUCGAGAAACCGGAGCUAAUACCGGAUAGGACCUUGCACCGCAUGGUGUGGGGUGGAAAGUUUUUCGGUGUGGGGUGGACUCGCGGCCUAGCAGCUUGUUGGUGCGGUAAUGGCUCACCAAGGCGUCGACGGGUAGCCGGCAUGAGAGGGUGACCGGCCACACUGGGACUGAGACACGGCCCAGACUCCUACGGGAGGCAGCAGUGGGGAAUAUUGCACAAUGGGCGCAAGCCUGAUGCAGCAACGCCGCGUGCGGGAUGACGGCCUUCGGGUUGUAAACCGCUUUUAGUAGGGAAGAAGCCUUCGGGUGACGGUACCUGCAGAAAAAGGACCGGCUAACUACGUGCCAGCCGCCGCGGUAAGAC